GACGAACGCUGGCGGCGUGGAUUAGGCAUGCAAGUCGAACGGUAUCAUCCUUUCGGGGGUGAGAGAGUGGCGAACUGGUGAGUAACACGUAGGUUAUCUACCCUCAAGACGGGGACAACCCAGGGAAACUUGGGCUAAUACCGGAUGUGAGCAACUUUUAGUUGUUUGAAAGGUGGCGUAAGCUGUCGCUUGGGGAUGAGCCUGCGUCCUAUUAGUUAGUUGGUGAGGUAACGGCUCACCUAGGCAAUGAUAGGUAGGCGGCCUUAACGGGUGGUCGCCCACACUGGGAUUGAGAUACGGCCCAGACUCCUACGGGAGGCAGCAGUCGAGAAUAGUCUACAAUGGUCGGAAGACUGAUAGUGCGACGCCGCGUGAACGAUGAAUCCCUUCGGGGUGUAAAGUUCUUUUAUAUGUGAGCAGUGCUUCUUAUAUUAACAGUAUGGGGAGAGAGAUAUUAGCAUAUGAAUAAGCAACGGCUAACUCCGUGCCCAGCAGCCGCGGUAAACU
rnacentral:rRNA from 1 species